rnacentral:lncRNA from 1 species
CCACCACGUCUUCUUGUGCCGACCACCUCUACUUGUGCUGACUGCCUCUUCGUCGCGUCAGCUGCCUCUCAUGCCAACCUCCUCCCCUUGCUAUCUCUCCUCUUCCUCCCUCUCCUUGUGCCAUCUCCUUAUUGCCUCUCUGCAUUAGUCACCUCCCCCUUCCCUCACCAUUGUCUCUCCUUGUGUCAACCGCCUCUCCAUCGUGUCGAUCACCUUGGCCUCCUCUUCGCUGCAUCAGCCCCCUACCCUUGCCACUUCUCC